ensembl:lncRNA
AUGUCACAGAGGCAGGCGCUGAGGCCAGGGGAGACGGGCACACACCGCCCAGCAGGCAGGCAGGAAGGGACUUCCACUCUGCUGCCCUGCAAGGAGCCAGGACACGGGUCCUGCACUAGCCCCGGGGGCCGAGGCCUGCCAACAUCCACAGUGGGCUGCAGGAGUCAGGCAGCGUGUGGCUGGGCGGGCAGCUGGCAGGCCAGCAAGGAAGGGAGCGAGGCCAGGUGUCCAGAUGUGCCCCAGGCCGUCCCAGAAAGCGGGCUAACCUGCAGCUGCUGGCUCAGACCUCUCCAGAACCGGGCUGGCUGGGAGAAAGACGCUGUCUUGAGCCACUUGCCACGGUGCGGGACGCGGUGCCUGGAGGCCGGCCCAGAGGGAAGCGAGGGCAGACAUCCUGGGUCACCUGGGACAGCCACGCCCUACACAAGGUCUACCCUGGACUUUUUAGUUACAGGAGCUGCGGUGCUUUCUCUUCUGCCGAAGCCAGGUUGAGUACACACGAGCAGUGGGUCCUGCACCCCCUCAGUACGGACAGAGUUCUCGUGACCAUACGGCACACGGAGAGGGUCCCGCUCACGGCCGCCUCUUCCACACAGCCGGACACCCCCCACACACCGUGCCCUCCCGGCCUCCUGUCCCCCCACUCUGGCCUCAGCACUGCCUCCAGAAUGUGAUUCCCCAUUUCUAGCAACGGGGAGGGACUGACCGGCCACCCCCAGCAGGACUAAGGGUGCCUUGAAGCCAGGGGCCAGCCGUGACUGAGCGGAUGGUGUCUCUGGCAGGGGUGGGGCCCAGAGAGCCCGCCGUCCGCCCUCCUAGAGGCUGGCCCGGCUCACUGGCGGGCCCUGUCAGUGGUGCCCGCUGACGUGCUGGGACUGAAAAGGAGCUCUCCCAACCUCUGCUGUAGAGAGAAACCAGGAGGGGGUGGGGCCAAGGCUCGGAAACAAAGGCGUUGCCAUGGUUACCCCUGAAGAAACCGACCCCAGCAGGCGAGGGAGGUGUGUGCAGGCCCCCAAGCCAGGAGAGGACAAGGCCUGUUACCAUGGAGAUGCUCCAAAGCUUCCCUUGCGGGCCUGGCCAAAGUCCAGUGCAGGGUCCCGAAGCCACCACCCCUCACCCUGACCGGCUGGAGGAUUCUGACCUAGUGCAAAGGACAUGCCCUGGGGGAUUCAUGGCCCCCCUUGGCCAUGACCCCUGGGGUGAGUGCAGUAUCGGAGAGCCAGGGCCAGAGGAGAGGCUGGACAGGACAGUCUCCUGUCUGCCCACGGACCACACCUGGGCUGAGCUUGAGCGCCUGUGUCCUGGCCGUGGAGCGGGGUACAGUCUGCCCCCAGUUGGGCCCUGCAAUGGGGCAUCAAUCUACCUUCUUUUAACAGAUGCAGUAAAGUAAGUUCCGAGGGUCAGGUGCUGGUCCUCCCUGGCCCCCAUGGCCAGG